ACAUUUUAGGUAUUUUUAAAAGUUUACACUACUAACUGUUACCACCCGCCGCUACCAUCCUCUCCCUCCUCCUUCCUCCAUUCUUUUCUCUCUUUCUCUUCCUCUCCCUUCUUCUCUCUGUCUUCUCCCCUCCCCCUCCUUCCUUCUCCCUCUUUUCCUCUCCUCCCUUCCCUUUUCCCGCCGGCACCCUUUCCCUUCCCCUCUCUCUCCCCCUCCGUGACUAGUCACAACCAAAGGGCCACAACCAGAGAUUUAGAUCUAGUAGUAAUUGGUUGCAAUCAGAAGCUAGUCAUGACCAUUUGAUCGAUGGCCGUGCACCAUCAACUAGAUCUGAAGUGGAGAGGAAGGAGUUUCUGGCAUAGGGAAAGGGUAAGGAGAGGAGAGGAGAAGGAAGGAGGGAAAGGAAGGAAGAGGAAAAAGGAAGGAGGGGGAGAAAGAGAAGGUGAGAGAAGAGAGGAGGGAGGGGAUGGUGGUAGUGCUGGUGGUAGGUGGAAAUGGCGGUGAUGGAUGACGAAAGAAGAAGAAGUGAUAGAAUUAUUAUUAUUAUUAUUGUAUUUGUGAGUUGUUUUUUAUGAAUUGAUGAUAUUUUUGAAGUUGUUUUUGUUUGUUUAUUUCUGUAGUAUUGUAUUUGAAAAACUAGUUUUUAAAAAAUAGCAAUAUCCAAACAGAGCCAAAUCCUGUUUAGAUUCAUUUGUAGAUUUACAAAAUAUUGCAUUUUGCGUUUGCAAUUAUAGUGUUGUCUCAUUAGUUCUUUAGAAAUUGCACGAAUCCUUUAAUUUAAAUGCAAAAUUAAUGAUUCCCA
rnacentral:lncRNA from 1 species